GUUGUUACAAAUUAGAUUUGUUUUAAAACGUAUAUAUGAUCAGUUUGUAUUUAAAAAUCUUUAAAUUCUUCUAGAAGAAUACUGUGAUGUUUGAAUAGGAUAUCAAAACAAUGGAGUAUGUUUUGAAAUGUUUGUGUUGUACCAAUUGGUGAAAAAACUAACCAUCCUUGAUAAUAUUUUCUAAAACAGUUACAGAGUGUUUUGUAAUUGUCUGUUUCAGACCAACUGUCAAAAGCAAAAGGAAGUAGAGUUGCCUUUCCUUGUGAAUUCAGCAGUGACACUUUACACAGAGAGGGCAUCAGCGUUGUCUGGAAACGAAUCAGAAAUUCAGAGACCUCAGUCCUGGCCACCUUCAAUGGUACCUCUCACUCUUACCAGCCUCGAGUCCAGAUUAACCAAAGGGACUUUUCACUGCUAUUGAGUGAUCUUACCACAAGUGACAGUGGAGAAUAUCUCUGUAACAUGUCAACACCUCACUACACAAAACUCACAGUGAGAACUUUGGAAGUUGAACAUUCAGAUAACACUUGGAAAACUGUGACAUUACUUGUACGGUGGUGAUGUACUGGCAGCGAUAGGACUGGCAGCGAUAGGGGUCUGUCUCUGUAAGACACUACUGAGAAUACUGCUGAAAUACAAGCUUGAGCAGAGGAGUUCCUUCGUCUUCCCAAUUGAAUUACACUGAGAACCAAGUGGAAAGGCAAUCAUCUGAACAACAGUAACAAACAAGUAAAGUGACAAAGAACAUAUACAAGUCAAUUGACAUUUGUAUGUGAGGAGUCUGCAUGAAGAACCGGAAUGCGAGUGUACUAAAAGGACAAUGAAAAAGUGUCACACAAGGUUGAGUUUUGAGUGUCGGUGGACUUUGGGUUUGUUUUUGGACUAUGAGGGGAAGAGAGGGCUUACUGUUUUGUACUUCGUUGAGUAUU